UCAAUUGUGAGCAAAACAAAAAGUUGGCAAAAGCGGCGUAUAAGAUACUACAAUACCGAGCGAAGAGCCAAACAUUUAUUGAGAGUAUGGUGACUCAAAGCCACCCAAGGAAGAAACUGCCACCCUACUUAUUGUGUUAGUUGUCACGUGUCACAUGAAAGCAAAACGACUGUUUGAUAACGAGGCUAUUGAGGCGACAGUUUGGCUAAAUUCGAUAAUGAGACUGCCGAGCCGACAAUUUGUCUGUGGAUUUAUGCUAAUAGCCUUUGUCAGCUAUCAGCGAAUAUGAAAGACGUACAGUUAACGUUUUGUUGUUUUCAAUGUAUUUGGUAUUAGGAGUUAUACAGCAGCAUAUUAGAAAGAGCCUAUCUAUAGACAAUUUAGUCUUACUUGGUUAAAAAAAAUAUCUAAAACCACAAGUUGAGCUCCAAUAAGAUUUGGAGUCAAGGACCCAAAAUCAAUCAUCUUCGAGAUGAUUAUUUAGUACAAAAUCCUAGUUUUCUAUCGCCAUAUCGCAUCACACGAUCGAAUUUAUACAAAACGUGAUACAGCUAACUGAAACCAUCUAUUGGAAAAAUAAUGCAUAGGUCUAGUAAAAAUCUUAUCGGGGCUAAACUUGAUCAUUUGUCAAACCAAUUGCGAAUCAAUGCUUGCAUGUCAAUGUUCUCAGCUGUUAAUACCAUCGCUCCUCCUUCAUCCAGAGGUUGACAAAGGACUUCAGUAAAAAGUUUCGUAGCAAUUGUUACACAAAUUAUCGUCGAAAAUGGUAAAAACUUUACCGCCAGCACUGUUGAUAGUUAAUUAUCUAGCAAUAUCCCAUCGAUGACAUAGAUACUAAUUGUAAAACUUCAACAAUCAACAACAAAGAAAGAACUGACAUUAAAGUUUCUAGUAUUUUCAAUUUAGACGGUUGUUAUAACAUAAUAAGAAAAAACAGAUUCAAUAAAGAUUAAAGUUAAUGUAAUAGUAAUGUAGUAAUAAUCCAGGUUUUUAUCAGGCAAAAAAUAAAAGCAACAUUUAUGACAAACUGAUGGUUCCUAAAUUUUUGGUUCCACAGGUAUUGGGAUGGAAGAGACGCCGAUAUAAAUGAUUACUAUACUAUCACUUCAUCCAUUUUAACAGAACAUAUGUGGUAUGCAGCUGAAACUAUUAGAAAGGCGAUUAGAACAUAGCAAGUGGCAAUAAAAAAAUUUCGACAUUAGAAAAAAUUCAGUUAAAAACAAGGAGAAAUCGUGGUUAUUUUCCACACAGAAAUUUGUACAGUUUCUUACAAAAUUUGUAUAGUAAAAAUAGAUGAAGUAGAAAUAAACUAGAAAGAUCUAUUUAAAGCUGCGACUCAUAUAUUCCAGUCGCUUUAAUUAGAGAGUGAAGUAUUGUCGUUUUUUUUUUGUACUAAGCGAGUCUCUGUUUUUCUGGCGGAAACUGCUACAACAAAAGCAUAACCAGAAAACUAACACAAUAAUACAAUAAUAUUUCCAAAUGAUCGAACAAUCUGACACCGCUCGCGUAGAAGACAAUCUUCCCAAUGAAACCAUAUAACGAUUUUGUUUAGUUGUGGAUCAAUUGGACUUAGUCAUUUCACAAUAUAUUGCACAGAGUAUAAUAAAUUUGAAAGUAUAACGAACGGAUAACUCCAGAAUCUGCCUGUUUAUGCACUCGUACAUCUAUUCUCCGUGCAAGCGAUAAUUUGUGUAAAAAUUGCUAUGAAAACCAACUCAAGUCCUUUGUCAGUAUGAGAAAGCGGCGAGGGUGACGACAGCUCUAACAAGAAUAAUGACCAAAACUGCUGAACCAGGUUGCCUGUCCUUUCCGUAAUUGAGCUUAAAAAGAAGGAGACGCAUUGAAGCAGUGAGAGACAGAUGAUGAGCCAGAAGUAGUGGAAUUAAUAACACAUAGAGCCAACCGGCUAAAACUUUUCUUUGCGAAGAAAUGCCUUUAGGCAGUCAUGCAAGGAAGUUAUAGGAGAUGGAGUUAUGGGUUUAAUACGUAGACGUCCUACUUCGCAUGUCCCGCAAACGGGAAAACUGGUGCACGUAAUUCCAAACGAGAUGCACCUCUAGUGUAUACAAGUAGGACAAAUCGUGCAUGCCGUCUGCAAUAUGACGAUAUCUUUUGAAGAUUCCACCUGUGACAACAAAAAAAUAUUUACCAUAAAUAUAUCCUGGCCAUCCAUGUGGCCUUCGUCAAUUAAGCUACUCAAAAAGUAAUCUUUGCUGUUAAAUGUACGCAGUAGCGUUGAUUUAUGAAACAUUCUUUUGCAAAAUAAUAACUUUCUGUACACAAAUUUAGCACAAUUGGGGAUUGAGAUCCAAGCGUAACGCUGCUAUGGGGUCUAAUGUAAGUUGGCUUUCGAUUACUCGCUAAUAAGGCAAAGCAAUAUUAUAAUAUUUUCAAAGAAAUUUUCAGCAAUUAGUUUUUAUCGACCUUUUUAUUACUUUCGAGUAUUUUAUUCUGUAUUAAUACCUAUUUUUGUACAUUUUGUCCACAAAGUUUUCAAUAAGCCGCCAUUUUAUAUAUUACAGCUCGUGAAUCACUUCAAUAACUGCAUGUGAUAUUUUCAGGUCGUUGUAGUGAUCAGAAUUGUCCCCCCAGAUCGCGUGAAUUAACACCAUUAUAUUUAUAUUUAUGUGGUUAUUUAAAAUACAUCCAUAUUUAUGCAGAAUAGUCAUUGAAAUUUUCGAUAAACGAAUGCGUAUGUACAUAUAUGUAAAGCCGUGGCGGCUAUUUGGCCGAUGUGUUAUUCCAUAAUAAUAAUUAUCUUAUGAUUCAAUAAAAAAAUUACAAACAAAAGACUAAAAA